UUAGACAUACCCCACAUUUUGUGGGAUUUCACCCUUUGAGGAACCAAUCAGAUUGCUAGGAAAAAUUUCUUGUUAUAGCAGUUAUACCUUUUUGUACUAUAUAUACUCCUCUCUAAUCAUUGUACAUUUACUGUGGAAAUUAUUACACUGUGUAUUGAAAAGGCAUUACUCUCUUUUCUUCCUUUUUAUUUGUUUAAUCUUUAUUUUUUGAUUUGGUAUCAGUUGCCAAUGGAAACUCCUGCCUCUCAUAGUGAUUCCUCAGUCAGCAAUGUGCGCACUGCGGAUCCUCCGGUUCCUCCACUAGCUGUUGACGCUCCACCACCAGCUCCAGCUCCAGCUCCAGCUCCAGCUUCGGUCGCCCCUGCUUUGUUAGCCUAUGCUGCUCCUUUGCUCCAGUCCCUUGCUCCUACCAUUCGGUUGGACAAAGACAACUACCUCUACUGGCGUUCUCAAGUGCUUCAUGCUGCGCGAGCUCAUGACUUAGAAGGCUAUCUCUUUGGCACCAGACCCUGUCCUCCUCAGUUCCUUGAUGCACCACCUGACGCUAACCUGAUGUGCCAAGACAGGCAUAGGGUGUGUGGUACCAAAGUAGUUGUGGUGCAUGCAGGCGCUUUGCUGCAAGAUACUCUGAUAGCGUUCCUGGCGAGCUGGAGCUUUGUUGCGAGGUACUUUGGUAGAGGCGGUUUUGAGCAUAUCUCCAACAACCAAGAGCAUCCAUUAGUGGUUCCUUAUCCGCGUGAGGUAUUCCUUUAUUCUUUCUUUUAGUAUUCUUAUCCUUGGAGGGUUUAAGUUACCACUUGGGAGUGGUGUUAUUUUAGCCCCAGUACCCCCUAAUGUGAUGCUCUGUGCUAGCGUCCAUUAGCAUGUUCACCUCACACACACACUACCACAUACCAUAGUUGGCCCCCCUUUUAUGUGUAAGUUUGUAGGGGUUUUAAACCCACUCUUUUGUAUUUUGUAGCACAACAUACAUUGCACACACAUUUGCACUAUCGUUCUUCAUGAGAUGCGUUCCAUGGCUUUCGACGGGUCGUCUAGCGUACCUCCCGGUAUUGAACCCAUAGAGCUAUCUUCGUCGAAUUCAGAGCCUUCUAUAUAUAACCCACACCAUGUGCAUGAGAUCUUAAGGAAGGCUUGUAUGUAUCAUUUGGAUCGGUUAAUUGACCUUAGGCAAAAAAUUUAGGUUGUUGAAAGUGAGAUAGACUUUGUCUCAAGGGGUGAGGGGUUGCUUCUUCUAGGGACCCCGAUGACUACAUUGCUAAUUUUAGAGCAAGCCUUCUGGACUUACAAAUGGAGCUGAUGUUUAUGGAAGAGAACCUUUCGCUAGAACCUCCACUUUCUGGCUCUCCUCUUUAUGAGGAAGCUUCCUAUAACAAUUUCAAAGCCACCUCUGGAUCCCUUCAACCAUUAUUUAUAGUGUAUGCAUUUCUAACGCUUCCACCUCCAACACCUAGGUGGAAAAUUCCUACGUGCAUAAAGCAUCGGGGAUGUAAAUGGAAGGUAAAAUGUCAUGUACAAAUGUCAUCCUUUUCUUUUGGUCUUUCAGAUAUGUCAAAGAAAGGCCAUCAAAAAGUGGCUUCCGAGAAGCUGGACUUCAGUCCCCUGUUAGCGACUUCCCUUGUCUCCCAUAUGUCAGAGAAUAAGUUAAUGAAACUAAUGGAGAAAUACUACAUAAGUGGUUAGUUCCAAUGCUACGUGCUCAAUUCUAAGUGUCGGGAUCAUGAGCCACCCCUAGUUCUACAACGUUCAGUGAGCAUAUACUGAAGGAGGGAGGUUCGUUUCCUCUCCAUCCGUUCUUUGAAGAAGUACUCAAGUACUUCAGGCUUGCUCCACUUCAGCUGGUGCCACAUAGUUGACUGAAUCUCAGUUGCUUGUACAUGGCAUAUAUGAGAUGCGAGGGUCAUGCUCCUACGACGAAGGAGGUGCACUUCAUGCACAAUCUCAUGCCGACUCCUAAGUCGAAGGGCUUUAUUUUUUCUGCAGAAGGCCAAUACCCAAGUUCUGUUGAGGGAGGGUAGCGUCACCAAUCCUAGCUCGUGGAAACAAGAUUUCUUCUUCGUCAAGGGCUGCCCCUCAGUUCGUGAACAUUUUCACACCUCUCCAAGUAAGCGUCGUACCUCUAUUUUUUUUUAUUAUCAUUGUUGUUAGGCUAACAAUUGAGCUGGUGGUUCAGGGGACCUCCCUCCUCUGAAAAUAUCUACACAACAACUUGUUUGCGUGGAGACCUUGGCUAAGGUAGACGUUAUGGAGAAAAUAGCGAAUUACAUUUUUACUACAACAAACCUCAAUGCCUAUGGUCUUUUUGGCGUCUCCAGUCCUGAUUUUUUGUGGUAUAUUAUGGAGCAGAAGAAAAAGGUCCUUCCGACAGGCACAUACUCAUUUGAUGGAAAUGACGACUGGGUUUAAGAUGAACCUUCUCUAGAGUCCAAGCGACCGGACCGCGUAUCUCCUGCUUCUGUGGACCCAGAUAUAGCCUCCCAUUCGCGAGCUCCACCUUCCAAUCCAGGGCGCUUUGUCUUGCCUUCUUACGGUGAGUUCAAUGUUGCUCCUAGAAAAUUCCCUAGUUAUUGAACUUCUAGAGGUCCUCUGCCUCGUUUAGCUAGUGCGUCAUCUAUCCCUGUUCAUCUAGACGCUCCUAGUUCGAGUGAGGUGCCAUGGGUGAAUUACGUGUCGGCUUCUUUUGUGUAGAGGUUUACCCGUGCGGAUGAGGAUGUUGCAGAGCCCAAGUGGAGGGGCCUUGAGAGUUUUAAUAUGACCGAGCUAGGGGAGACUCUCAUGUAUUCCACUACCUGGACUUAUCUCGUGGCUCAGCACUUAAUAGCUUCGAAAAAAGACCUAUCUUUGGCCGGGGUGGAGAAUGAUCGACUUACUGUCAAGAUUUAGGGACUCGAGAAACAGCUUGCUGAGGCCACACACAAGAUAGAAGCAGCCGUAGCGAAGGCUUCCUCUUCGUCCAAGAGUAAGAAAAUGGCGGAAGCUAAAGUUUUGGUGUUGCGGGAGAAGAUUAGUUCUCUUGAGGCGGAACUAGUGGAGGUCGAGUACAAGUCAAUGGAGCGAACCUUGUAUGGUGUGUAGAGACAGAAUCCUGGCUUCGACUUCUCCUCAUUCGGUGACCAUGUUGUUGCUAAGGCUGCAGAAUGGAGUGCUCGCGGCGGGAAACCAUGAUGUAUUUUCUUGCCUUGUCUUUCGCUCCCAUCUAUGGGCAACUUAUUUCUUUUUACUUUGAUUGGGUUGUAAUGCUACUUGAUUUGUUUUUCCUGAGAGGUUUCUCUAGGUCUCUUGUUUUCUUUGCGAGGAACUUUAAUAAGUUAUGGUUAGUCUUAUGCUUAUUUUGUGAUGGAACAAUAUCAUGUCCUUUUAUGCAUGUGGGCUUCUUAUUAACACCU